UUUUGGACAAAUUGUGGAAAAGUAGAUGCAAGUACAAACUUCAUGCAUACCACAUUUGUCCAAAUCAUUCUUUCUUGCAAAAUGUAAGGGUUUCCUCCACUUUUACGGACAAUCAUUUGGAUGCAACGAACCAAGUACAAAUGGUUCAAAAAGUUGAUCAGGGUCAGCUCAACCGGCAAAUAAAGGCUAGGCUUUGCGGUUCGAGUCUUCUCAGGGCUACUGAGGAUUUUCCUAGUUGUUAUCUUCAGGAUCCCGUGGGAUUAGUCUAGCUGCACAUAAGCUGGCCUGAACAUCGACAAUUACCAAAAAAAAAAAGAGAACGUCCACGCUAGAAAUAUGAUGAAGAAGGAGAUCACAAGGACUUCCAUGGCAGAUAAAACACCGAUGAAACUAUUGACAACGAUCGGAUUGGACAGAGCUGCAAUUGAACUCCUCCUUUUUCUGACAUCCAAAGAAAGAUCAAGAUCACGCAAAUUGCCUAAGAGGAAUCAGAUGACGGAAACCUCGUUUUAGUUAAAAAAAAGGGUCGGUUCUUAGCCACGAUGAUCGUGUUUAACCUCAAGUGGAACGGAAUUGAAGAUCGUGGUGGUCCAGAUCCAUCUGUCAUGGAGGUCCUCAAACUUCAUUCAAAUCUCUACAGGUUGCCUAAACCAUCAACUUGUCCAUAAUAACGACAGCCAUGAGACGCUGCUAUUUGAACUCUUUUAAAAGGUACCCGGUUCUAGUGUGGUAGUGACGUACGAAUGAUGCUCGAUCUUAUAGCUUCAAACCAUUUUGGAGUCAGUUUGAAACACGAUGAAUAUGAAGGAUUUUGAUCCCUCCAUCUUGUUGGAGUCCUACGUCAACUAGACAUGGGGUAUCAAACCUGUAUUGCAUAUAUAUCGGAACUCCUCCUAUUUGUAUAAAGGAUUCUUUUAGAAAGUGAUUUAAAAGGGUUCCACGUAUCUUUAUAUGGUAUCAGAGCCGGGGGUUUAGCAGCACCUAGAUCAGAGCCAAGGUCUAGCACCACCUAGGACACGAAACACUCUUCCCCCUCUGUUUGGAGGGGCAUGUUAAAGUCCCACAUCAGCUAGACAUGAGCCAUCGAACCUGUAUACAUGUAUGAAAUUCCCUUUUCUCUGUAGAUACUCUUUAAGAUACAGAUUUAAAAAGGUUUUGAUAUAUA